rnacentral:tRNA from 1 species
UCCUCGGUAGUAUAGUGGUCAGUAUCCCCGCCUGUCACGCGGGAGGACCCGGGUUCAAUUCCCGGCCGGGGAG